rnacentral:lncRNA from 1 species
UCGUUUCCGUCGAUAUAACAGAAAAAAAAUACAAGAUUAUAUUCAUGUAAAGUCAUGAUCAAGCAAAAAAAAAAAGAGAGAAAUUACAGAAAAACCUGCAGGUUGGAUUGGGUUAUCAACAUACUUCAAACUCAAACUCGCCACAGAUAACACGGCUGAUCGAGAGGAGGCGGCGACAUCAUAAGAACACUCCACAACACCGGUGCUCGUGUAUGAACAGCAACACCAUCACCUGGGCAAAAAGCUGAUAGACGAUAGUCUGUCGUCACCGUCAGCACCAUUGUUACUGAACACCGGCCACUGCUAUACAGGGAUAGCCGCCG